UCUGUGCCCUGCCAUGACUGGGUAGAAACCUCUGCCUUCUACCAUGUGAGUCCUCUGGUUGUCAUCCCAUUUCCACAGGAGGACAAUCUGCAGAGCAUAAGGUCGCUCUCAGCUCCAGUUCAAGCGAGAGGGAUGAAGAGGAGAUGUAUGGCAGGUCUGUGCUGUGCGGUGAUCCCAGCCCAGGCUGAUGCCCGGGGCAGCUUGGCUGGCACCACUCAUGCAACGAUCACCGCUGCCAGUGCACCCCCAAGCCCAGCACUGGGGGGACUGGAUGCACAGUCAGCCGGAUCCUGCUAAAGGUGGAGACCCGUGUAAAGCGAGGCAAAACUGAGCUUCCCUCUGCAAAGCGAAGCAGCUGGUUCAACUAAUUAAAUGUUAAAAAUUCCAGCAAGACGAGCGUACCAGAAAACAAACAGGCUCGGCAGCCAGGACGGGAAGACUUGGAAAGGAUCCGCGCGCUUCCCUGCCUCUCCCAUAUGUGUCUGUGUAGACGCUGGCACCUGUGCAGCCAUGUGUUCACACGCCGUGUUUACGGGCUCCAGCGAGCGCGUUUCCAUAUGGAUCUGUGCGGGUCAGAGCUGCGGGGCUCUGCACCCCCAUGCCACUCGUGCCUGUGGUCCCCUGCGUGUCUGGCAUAGAGCUCUGUGUGUCCCUGCCGGGAGGCAGCUCCAUCACUCCUUAGGUACAUCUAACUGGAAGGGCCGGAGCUCGCUCUGCAAGCAACAAGCUCACAAUGUGUAGGAGAUAAAGAGAGGGGAUGGAGGGCAUCGGAGGAGUGACAGCGCUCGAACGCCUUGCCACUGGCAGUGGCAAGCAUCCAGCCUCAGCUAUUUGCAAGCCAGGAAUAAGCCUGCUCAGUGUCACAAGGGGUUUCCAGGACACGUUCAAGACCAGGAAGCACCAACUGACACCGGUUUACAAGGAGCACGAUGCUGUCCCCAUGCCUGCAUCCCAUCCAGGAUCCCUGUGACCUGUGCCCUGUGAAGGACAAACACCAAGGACGAGGCGUUUGAGGGGCUUCGUGCUUGGCUGCGGGGCCAGGGCAGCAUCCGGGAGCUGCAGGGCUCCCCUCCUUUGCUGUCAGGAUGCGGCCCCGGUUAGUUAUGCGCCGAUCGAGUGAGGAAAUGGGAUGCUGGGGCCGGCUCCCUGCAAGGCUCAGCCCGUGUCUCCCCGGCCCCAUAAUUUUUGUUGGGAAGUUUUAUCUUUUUAAUUUGUUACAUAUCACACAUCCUCUGAUUAAUUAUUGCUUCUCUGCAGGGAGGACUAGAGUUUAUAGAGCAAUAUAGCAUUAGUGUUAGCUUUAUACACCCUCAAAGCCCAGAGGAAGCUCGGCAGAGUACUUAUGCGAUGUUCUGUCGAUAAUAAUGACUCAGCAUUUGGCCGGCUCGGGGUGUAUCAGAAGUGCUUUAUUAAAAAGUACACAGUAUAUGCAUCGGACAUAAAUACAGGCAGGAGAGGCGAGCGUGAUGUGCUGCAUACAUAGCAGUCAGUGCCUGUGCUGGGGCCUGCCUCUGCCUGCUCCAUGGAUCCCUGGCAGUGCAGGAGUUUAAUUGCCACGGUGGCCUGGGAUGCAUUGAGCUGCUUGGCAUGUCCUUCAGCCCUGCGAAUGCAGAAACAGCCACAAUCCAAUUCCCUUUACAACCGCAUGUCUCCGCCGGCUGAGCGGGAGCCCUCUCCCUGAAGGAGCCUUCCCAUCCAGCGAACGCUCUUAAGGAGGCUGUACAAGUGAUGGGGAAGGCAUUGCGGCAGGAUAACGGCGAGGAAAUGCAGUUGAACAUUUCCAGCACUGAGUAAACCAUAUGUCUUCAUAAUUUGAUUGUGCCCCGGUCCCGCAGGUACCUCCCAGCUCUAUUGAACACCGAUGGAGUUAUUUAGAAUCAUAAAUAAUAUUAUCAAAGAGGGUCUGCUGGGUAAACAGAGCCAGUGUAUGAAUUGUCGGCGCGAGAUAUUGAUUGUUGGGAGCUGGCUAAUGAAUUAUUCUGUUUGAGGGCCGUGGAAAUGAUGCUCGGUGUUUGCAAGGCAAAGCCCCUGCAAGAACUCCCCACUGCCCUGUGGGGCUUUGUUGUCCGGGCUGCAGCAGGCAGCAAGCACGGGUCCUGGACCCCAGGCCCCUUGGUGGCGAGCAGGCGGGGGGGUCAUCUCCUCCUCCUCCUUUCUCACCUUCCCUCUUCCUUCCAUCGAUCUGUAUGCAUUGAGGGGACCCACUGCGGGAUUUGGGUGCACCAGACCCCAUGCCAGGUCCCCAAGGCUUCC